CUCCUUCUGGCAGUUAGGUUGCUACUGACACAAUUUCCCUUUUACCCUGAGGCUGGUGAGAGAGUUUCAAGGUUCUGAAGGAAGUUCAGCAUAUAGCAUACUGUUAACCAAAGGCAUAGCUGAAAUUAGAGACAGAUGAAGAAUAGGAAUUGGCUUACAGCAUCUCCCAGGGACCUUCUCUUUCUAUGAAAUGUCCCCUCUGCACAGAUUGUCGGAGGCAUGAUUUAGGUUUUUGGAAGAUGCUGAUGGUGGCAUAAAUCUGACCAGACAGGGAGGUUGCCGUGGAACUGGAAGUACACUCAGCCGAAUGUCACAAGAAACACUCAGGAAUGAAAUCAAGAAUGGAAUCACACAAGUCAAUGAAAAGAAUUUAAGCUCUGGGCAGCAGACAAAAGCAAGCUGCUGAAUUGUUUGGGCCUUUGAGUCCUUGAUGAUUAAAUAGGUACAAUAAAAUGGAUCUCACAGGGAGUUGUGAUGACCAAAUUAGAUACAGGGUGUGCAGGGCCAGUCCUAGCAUUGGUACAGGAAGGAGUAAAAUUUCAGUUCCUUCCCUACUUUUGGUAGGUGGAAGAGACUGGCAAUGGCUACAGGCUGGGAACUUGUAGCAAGUAGAAGCUGUAACCAAAUGCUGGCAUCAGGGAAGGGCUAGCUGACAAAUUCCAAAAUGUAUGCUGGUUCACCUUUAAAAGAAGUGAGUUGCAAGGGACAAAACAAAGGAAUUGGAGUGCGUUAUGUCCAUGUUCUAACUCCACACAAGGAAUGUAAAUAAUAUAUAUGGCAAAUAUGUAAAAGAAGGAAAAAAAGGAAGGAGAUAGAGG
rnacentral:lncRNA from 1 species